rnacentral:misc_RNA from 1 species
UGCGAGUUCGCGGGAGAGUAAGUUAUUGCCAGGGUUUUUAUUUUUUUUAAUGUUUAUGUUAUUUGAAUGGCUUAUUCAAAUAACAUAAAAAAGAAAAUAGAUAUUGACAUGGAUUAAACAAAGAUAUAUAUUAUUCUAUGUUGCAUAAACAAAUUGGCAAAGUAGAGAUGGAAGAUAAAAAUAUGGUCAAAGUAAUAAGAGUCUAUGGUGAAUGCCUAGGA